rnacentral:rRNA from 1 species
AACGAACGCUGGCGGCAGGCUUAACACAUGCAAGUCGAGCGCCCCGCAAGGGGAGCGGCAGACGGGUGAGUAACGCGUGGGAAUCUACCCAUCUCUACGGAAUAACGCAUGGAAACGUGUGCUAAUACCGUAUACGUCCUUCGGGAGAAAGAUUUAUCGGAGAUGGAUGAGCCCGCGUUGGAUUAGCUAGUUGGGGGGGUAAAGGCCUACCAAGGCGACGAUCCAUAGCUGGUCUCAGAGGAUGAUCAGCCACACUGGGACUGAGACACGGCCCAGACUCCUACGGGAGGCAGCAGUGGGGAAUAUUGGACAAUGGGCGCAAGCCUGAUCCAGCCAUGCCGCGUGAGUGAUGAAGGCCCUAGGGUUGUAAAGCUCUUUCACCGGUGAAGAUAAUGACGGUAACCGGAGAAGAAGCCCCGGCUAACUUCGUGCCAGCCGCCGCAGUAAUAC